rnacentral:pre_miRNA from 1 species
GGACUGGCCGGGCGCGCGUGUGUGUGUGUGUGUGUGUGUGUGUGCGCACGCGUGCACGCGCGUGCACUGGCGUGCACGAGCCCGCACU